AAAGAAGUAUUUGGUCCAUAGA
rnacentral:miRNA from 1 species